rnacentral:rRNA from 1 species
GACGAACGCUGACGGCGUGCUUAACACAUGCAAGUCGAAGGGAGUGGCGAACGGGUGAGUAACACGUGAGUAACCUUCCCUUUUCUUUGGGAUAAGCCUGGGAAACUGGGUCUAAUACUAGAUGGAUGGGGAGGGGCUCGGGGCUUAUGAGCUGGUUGGUGGGGUGAUGGCUUACCAAGGCUUUGACGGGUAGACGGCCGGAGAGGGUGUGCGGUCACACUGGGACUGAGUGACGUCCCAGACGCCUACGGGAGGAAGCAGUGGGGGAUAUUGCACAAUGGACGAAAGUCUGAUGCAGCGACGUCGUGUGGGGGAUGAAGGCCUUGGGGUUGUAAACUCCUUUCGCCCGCGGAAUGGUAGUGGGUAAAGAAGCGCCGGCUAACUACGUGCCAGCAGCCGCGGUAAUAC